rnacentral:lncRNA from 1 species
GGGGGGGCCGCCCCCGGGCUCUGCUCCUGGGGGUGCAGCACCUCGGAUGGGAGCCGUGACUGGAACUUCUCCAGCUGCUCGGGGCUGGCCAGGGUCUUCAGGAGGCUGUUCUCACGCUCCAGCUGGGAGUUCUUCUCCAACAGUUCCUUAAUCUGCUCCUUCAGCACCUCCACCUCCUCCCGCACCGCGUACAUCAGGUGGUUCUUUACCAGGUCCAUCGCCUGCUCGAUCUUGUUGUCAAUGGCCACCACGCUGGCUCCGGAGGCACUGUUGUCCAGCUUCACGGAGACCACGUCCCCCCCGAGCAAGGAGGAGAAGAAGGAGAUAGAGAAGUUGUGCAGCUGAUAGACAGCCACCUCCAUGGGGGAGUGGUACACGCCGGUGCUCAUGGCUGCGCGGAUCGGCACGGACAGCUGCG